GGGGCUGUGUGGGCCGGGGGGGGGCGAAGAAAAAUGGGGCCGAAACUGAGAAAACUGCAGGGCGUUACUAAAGAGCUCAGUUGGAGUCGGAGUCGGAGGAGUCCCCGGAGGAGGAGGAGGAGCUGCUGCUGCCCUCCGAGUCGUUGUCGUCCUCAUCUUCAUCGUCCUCAUCCUCGUCGUCCUCAUCGUUCUCGUCGCCGUCCUCGCUCUCCUCCUCACUGCUGGACUCCGAGGAAUCGCCGCCCUCCUCCGAUGAGUCCCCGUUGUCGUCGUCGUCGUCCUCAUCUUCAUCGUCAUCAUCCUCGUCCUCUUCGUCGUCGUCGUCGUCCUCUGACUCCGACUUGGACUGCAUCGUUGGCUUCAUCUUGGGGUUGGGGCCCCGGAUC
rnacentral:lncRNA from 1 species